AAAAGUCGUAACAAGGUCUCCGUUGGUGAACCAGCGGAGGGAUCAUUAUCGAGUUAUUCAACUCCCAAACCCUAUGUGAACUUACCACUUGUUGCUUCGGCGCGCGCUUCGGCGCCGCCGAGGACACUUAAACUCUUUGUUUUUAUAAGCAUUUCUGAGUGGCCGAAAGGCAAAAAUACAAAUGAAUCAAAACUUUCAACAACGGAUCUCUUGGUUCUGGCAUCGAUGAAGAACGCAGCGAAAUGCGAUAAGUAAUGUGAAUUGCAGAAUUCAGUGAAUCAUCGAAUCUUUGAACGCACAUUGCGCCCGCCAGCAUUCUGGCGGGCAUGCCUGUUCGAGCGUCAUUUCAACCCUCGAGCCCGACUCUUUUGAGGACGGCUCGGCGUUGGGGGACGGCAGACUCCCCCCGGCAUCUCGCCGGGGACGCCGCCCCCGAAAUCUAGUGGCGGCCCUCCGAGGCGACCUCUGCGUAGUAACUUGUUCUCGCACCGGAAAGCUCAGAGCGGCCACGCCGUAAAACCCCAACUUUUUUCAGGUUGACCUCGAAUCAGGUAGGACUACCCACUGAACUUAAGCAUAUCAAUA
rnacentral:rRNA from 1 species